GUCACUACACAAUUCCCCUCGGGCCUGGCUACACAUCUCUCUUAUCCCCCACCUCUCCUUCUCCAACUCCGGCCGCCGCCACGGCCAGGCCGGCGUGGUGGUGCGCCUCCGCAGCCCAUCCAUCCACCAGCACCACCAUCACACGACCACUCCACAACCAGCGCCACCCAACCACCCAUCCUCGCCAUCUCCAUCACCCGCCGCUGCAUCAUCACCAAUCAGCCACCGCCGCGCCAUCACCAGCACCUCCAUACACCACCAUCCAUCAGCGCCACCAUCUGCAGCUACCGCUGCAUCUCGCGUGCUCGACCAGACAAGAGGGUCACGGGCAUCUGGUCCUCCGUGUUAGCGCCCCCGUGUUGUUGAUGUUCUUCUCCUUUCCCCCUUGCUGCUUCUUCCCUUCACGCUGAUGCUGCUGCCUUCCUUGCACCCCCUUGCUGCUACUACGAUCUGAACCCUCCUUGCUUUUGCUCUUCCCUCGUCCCAGCCUGCUGCUCUCUCAAUCUCUGCUGCUGCUAUUCUCUAAGCCCCCCACGCUGCUGGCGUUCCUCUUCUUUCCCACGUCUAUGCUGCUUUCUUCUCCCCAAAACUGCUGCUGUACCUUCUCCCUAAUUCCCCUCUUCUCCUAACCUUGUUGCUGUACUUUUCUGAACCCCUACUACUGUUGUUUCCCUCAUUAUCUUUCUCUGAAUUUUCUGUAAGCUGAGAUGUGUAAUGCUUUGUAAUGUUCAGAUUUGAGUAGUGCUUGACACUUGUUCAGUUUCAGACUUGUCCUUGAUUAAUAGUACUUGUGUUGUUCAUCUCAGAGUACUAGAAUUAUGUCUUGUAACCUCCCCCUAUUUGCAUAUGUGUGAUGUGUGUUCUGUAGUGUUUUUGUUAACUUUGUUCAUGUGAAAACAUAUAUGUUUGUGUUGUGAUAUAUUUUUGUCCCUAUCAUAUUAGCUUGUUUCUUUCCUUCUGUCAUUGCUAGUUAUAUAUGUGUGAGUGUUUGUGUUGUGAGAGUUGUACUGUUACAUUGUGAUUCUCAUUUAAAAUGUAAGAGUACUAGCUAUAUACUCCCUCCAUUCCUAAAUAUAGGGUGUAUAGUUUUUGGCACGGAAUUAAAGAACGCACGUGGAGGGAAAAUUUCACAAGUUCUGGGCGAGAUUACACCUGACUAAUUGACAUGAAUAAAAAGAGAAAUGUAAUCAAAUCCCUAAAAAAUUAAUCCAAACGAGUGGUGCAACGCAAUGCACCUUAUAUUUCGGAUUUUUUCUCAGAAAUCUAUACACCUUAUAUCAAGGAACGGAGGGAGUAUGUCAUAUAUAUUCUAUUCAUGUAUGAUAGUUAUGUGUUCUUGUCUAGUAGGUUUCCCUAAUAUUGAUUCUCGUUUGUGUUAGUGUUUUAAUCCCUCAAGCCUAAUAAAAAUACCAAAAAGACAAUGAGUAAAAUCUGAAUUUCCCCUUGCUGUUUACCCUUUCUUUGUCGUCAACCUUAGCUAGUUUAGGUUAUUAUUUUCUUGGAAUCCUCUCUUAAAAUUUUGUCACCUAGCUUUAGCUGAGCAUUGCUGCUGUCGCCUAGUCCCUGUGGAGAACACGACAUCCGUAGUUUGGGGCGUAAAAAACCCUGCUAUAUUACAACUGAUCAUUUUGGCGCCGUUGUCGAGGACCAGCGUCGAGCGUUUGUGUGAGGCUUUAGACUAGGUUUAGCUUGUUUCCUUUUUGUGCUUUAUAUAUUUGUGAUAUAUCUCUAGCCACUAACCCCUGUUCUAGUUAGUAUCUUUUUGUCUUCUUUUCCUUUUUGCAGGUUGGAUUAUCCUCUCGGUUAUGGCUUACUAUUCAGAUCAUCAUGCUUAUGCGAGCAACACUACAAACAGCACGGAAAGUGUUCAAGAACUGAUAGGUAAGAUUUCCCAUCGAUUAGAUGAUUUAGCUCGGCAGCGAGAAGGAGUUUUUGAGGAUAGGCCUAGUUCUUACGAUCCUUAUUCCAGUGGCCAUCCUUAUGUUGCUCCUACUUGCCAUAUUUGUGGAUUUCAGGGCCAUUCACCCGCUGAAUGUCAGUGUGGCUACUCUCACACUCCGGAUUGUUUUGGCAUGAGCUUCGCUCAAGAGCAUAGCUCAUACCAAAACAAUUACUCACAUGGGUGGCCUGAAAUCCCGAAUAUGUCAUAUAGGAGCAACAACCCUGAGAUCUCACAGUUUGGUUCUAGUAAUCAUAUGCAGGGAUUUAGGUACAAUGAGGAGAGCCACAACUAUGCACCACAACAAUUCCAUUCAGCUCCUACUCAUAUACCACAGCACCAGGAGAUGUGUCCAAUGGAGUUAAAUGGUCCUCCAUUUGGUCAACCAACAACUCCAGCACCUGUUGUGCAAUCUCAUGUGCAAGUGCCCACACAAGAUGAGUUCGAUGACAUAGACAAGCUCACACUUUUGAGUCUCGAGUUCACUUGGAGUGCCGAGGAUGAUCCUAUUAGGAAGGUGAUACUUGAGGAAAUGAAGAAGAUUAAGAGUGGAAAAGAGCUAGUGGAAGAAGUAAGGAAGAUUGAGAAGAACAUCAACGCUGGCAGCACUAUUUCUUCACAGCUAGAGCUGAGUGUUGCUGAGAUAUCCAUUGAUACAUGUGAGGUACCAACACCUUCACAUUCAGCUGAGCAAGAUAGCGAGAGUCCAGAGGAAGAGAUACUUCAGAUCCAAGAAGAAAUUCUCGAAGCCAAGGCACAAGAUGAUCUAGAGCUCGAACAACAAAGUGAUCAAGUUGAAGACUCAUCAUCUACUACUCCUGAAGAAGUACAAGAAGCUGUUGUAGAUGAAGAUGAAGAACAUGAGAUUCAUUUGCCUAUUGUCAUACCAGAGCGUGAUGUGUCAGGUUUACUCAAUCCUCUUGAUGACAUUAUGCCUUGUGAUUUCUUUGCUACUACCUUGCAUUACAUGAUACCAUCACUUAAGAUUGAUUUGAAAACUCAUUUGCUUGGAUAUGAUGAUAUAUACCCUGUUAGUGGCAUUACUCUCAUUUGUGAUGACCAUAGUUACUUUCCUCGCGCUAAUCCUAUGCUUAAUGAAACAUAUCACUCCCAUGCUAGUCUUGAGCUUAAUGAUAAAUAUCAUCCUCAUGUUAGUGUUGACCUUGCUGAUUUCUACCAUCCUAAACAUGUGCUUUAUAGCUAUGCUUAUGUAAUUGGAUACUCUAUCGAUGACUAAGAGGGCAUUCUCUCUGUCACUUGUAUUGGCUUGGUUGUUGAGUGUUCUUUCAGGUUGAUGCUUGUGUACCAUUUACUACGAGUUGACCGAGUUCGAGAUGACAUUCCCUGGGAUCCUGGUGGACUCAGAGCAUGGGGAUGAGGAGAAGCAAGGGGGCACACACGAGGAAGGGAGAAGCUGGAGUAGGCAUGAGGAUAGAGAAGCAAAAGGAGAGGAGCUGCAGUUGGUGAGGUGAUCGAGCGAGUGCUACUUCCUAUGAAAACCCGGUGAGCUGUUUCAUGACCCAUUCCUAGUAUAUCAUCCAUUGAUACAUGCUGAAAUCAAAUGUUAUUUGGGUUGCUUAAGCCAUGUCUUAAAUGUUGCCCCACUGAAUUUUACUUGAAAUAUGGUGCUUGAUGAGAAUAUGUGAACUGAGCGUUGAAUGCCUGGUAAACUAGUGAUCUAUACAAUGCUUGCUUUGCUGAAAGUAGUGGAAGUUAUUAGUUUUGAGUGCUCAAAUCCCUAGUAUACUAGAAAACUUAAUCAUUUUCUGCUUUUACCUCGAUACACCUAGAUCACCACGUUUAGAUUCUGAAUUUGUGCUAAGUGUGUUCCCAUUGAGAGCAAUCACCUAACCACUAUGGAUUAGCAUGCUAUGUUCCCUGGAUCGGUAGCAUGUGAACCAGACAUGGAGAAGUGAUGAUUCCUGUUUUUGUGCUUAUGUGUUGUUCAUUUAAGAUAAGUAAUAUUGAAUAAAUAAGUCUGACUACCUACAGUAGCAUGUCAUGUUCCCGGGAUCGGUGGCAUGUGAAAUCGGGUUAGCUUGGGCAGUAAUUAAUAAUAAAAAAAUGUAAUUGUCGAACCAGGUGUAUACCAUGUUCUCGGGAUCGGUGGUAUGUUCCUUUGGGGAGACAAACAAAAAAACUAAUAAUUGGUCGAGCCAGGUGUAUACCAUGUUCUCGGGAUCGGUGGUAUGUUCCUAUGGUGAGACUAAUAAUAAUAUAAUCAUUGCUUUAUCUCUGUAAAUAAGUGAUUUGAUCACAAGAUUUAAUUCCAGUUCAUUUUGUUCUUGGGAUCAUGCUCUCUUUAGGAACCAUUUGGCGCAGUCAUCAUUUAAACUUGUUGAUCCUCUUUUAUCUCUGUAAAAGUUUAAAAUGGUCAUGCUUACUAGUAUCCUACUGCUUUGUAGCACUCCUAACCAUUAAUUUUCACUAGCUAAGUCUGAAGCAUGCCUUGUUUGGAGAUCUAUUUUACCAGGACAUUCCUUACUCAGUUUACUGUUCAUUAUCUUGCCUUUAUCAUAUUCCUUUGCUUGAGGACAAGCAAAGAUUUAAGUGUGGGGGAACUUGAUAAGUGCAUUUCAUAUAUAUAAUUUGGCACUCAAAUUUAGCAUCUAUCGUGAUAUAUCCAUCCAUUCUUGCUAUGAGUUGUGAUAUAUUUGAAUGAAAAUCAUAUAAAAGAUCAUUUACUUGUCAUUUGUUUCUUUUGCAGAAAAGUGCGCAAGGCACUAUAAUCGUCAAGAUUUUUACUAUGUGGCUAACGAGACGAGAGAAGGGCUUGUGUGUGACGACAAGAAGUAACCAAAGGGGCUAACUAUAGAAGAGAGGGGAUCUACUUGGGAAGGAAGAAGAUAGUAGGAGGGCCCAUGUGCAAACAUCAAAAUCUGCUGUGAGGGGAUCAAACUCCCUAGGUCACUACACAAUUCCCCUCGGGCCUGGCUACACAUCUCUCUUCUCCCCCACCUCUCCUUCUCCAACUCCGGCCGCCGCCACGUCCAGGCCAGCGUGGUGGUGCGCCUUCGCAGCACAUCCAUCCACCAGCACCACCAUCACACGACCACUCCACAACCAGCGCCACCCAGCCACCCAUGCUCACCAUCUCCAUCACCCGCCGCUGCAUCAUCACCAAUCAGCCACUGCUGCACCAUCACCAGCACCUCCAUACACCACCAUCCAUCAGCGCCACCAUCUACAGCUACCGCUGCAUCUCGCGUGCUCGACCAGACAAGAGGGUCACGGGCAUCUGGUCCUCCGCGUUAGCGCCCCCGUGAUGUUGAUGUUCUUCUCCUUUCCCCCCUGCUGCUUCUUCCCUUCACGCUGCUGCUGCUGCCUUCCUUGCACCCCCUUGCUGCUGCUACGAUCUGAACCCUCCUUGCUUUUGCUCUUCCCUCGUCCUAGCCUGCUGCUCUCUCAAUCUCUGCUGCUGCUAUUCUCUAAGCCCCCCACGCUGCUGCUGUUCCUCUUCUUUCCCACGUCUCUCCUGCUUUCUUCUCCCCAAAACUGCUGCUAUACCUUCUCCCUAAUUCCCCUCUUCUCCUAACCUCGUUGUUGUACUUUUCUGAACCCCUACUACUCCUGUUUCCCUCAUUAUCUUUCUCUGAAUUUUCUGUAAGCUGAGAUGUGUAAUGCUUUGUAAUGUUCAGAUUUGAGUAGUGCUUGACACUUGUUCAGUUUCAGACUUGUCCUUGAUUAAUAGUACUUGUGUUGUUCAUCUCAGAGUACUAGAAUUAUGUCUUGUAACCUCCCCCUGUUUGCAUAUGUGUGAUGUGUGUUCUGUAGUGUUUUUGUUAACUUUGUUCAUGUGAAAACAUAUAUGUUUGUGUUGUGAUAUAUUUUUGUCCCUAUCAUAUUAGCUUGUUUCUUUCCUUCUGUCAUUGCUAGUUAUAUAUGUGUGAGUGUUUGUGUUGUGAGAGUUGUACUGUUACAUUGUGAUUCUCAUUUAAAAUGUAAGAGUACUAGCUAUAUAUGUCAUAUAUAUUCUGUUCAUGUAUGAUAGUUAUAUGUGUUCUUG
rnacentral:lncRNA from 1 species